rnacentral:siRNA from 1 species
UCCAAUCAUCUUAUUUUGGUCCA